rnacentral:rRNA from 1 species
UACAGAGGUGGCAAGCGUUGUUCGGAAUUACUGGGCGUAAAGGGCGCGUAGGCGGCCUUCUAAGUCAGACGUGAAAUCCCCCGGCUUAACCUGGGAACUGCGUCUGAUACUGGGAGGCUUGAGUAUGGGAGAGGGAUGUAGAAUUCCAGGUGUAGCGGUAGAAAUGCGUAGAUAUCUGGAGGAAUACCGGUGGCGAAGGCGGCAUCCUGGACCAUUACUGACGCUGAGGCGGCGAAAGCUA